GAAUAAAGUUUGGGCUUAAGCAACCCAUUUUUAGGCCUAAUUUUGGACCUAACCCAUAAUUCUAGGCUCAUACCUCCUUAACCUAAAAACCCUUCUUUAUAACCAAAACUAGUCUAAAAAUAACCCUAGACUACACUUAACACUAGCAGCCGUGAAUACACAAAAGGGAAGACACUCUAACGAGAGAUCAGCCAUUGGAGGCCUAAUGCCUAGGACCUAAGGGAACUUGGUCGUUUCCUUUCUUCUUCUUGUACACAAAACCUAGAAAACCAUAACAGACCAUCCUCUCCUUACUAAAAACCAACAACGACUCUUUCUUCUUGGACCUCAAAAGAACAACAACCAUGUCCUUACGAAGACACACAACCUAACGCCCCAUUUCCUGUCCGGUUAGCUCCCCAGAAAAUGAGCUACACCAGCCAACGAUCUUCAGUCGCCAGCUUUCACCCUUUCCAUGGCAGCCGCUGCCGGAGGUGAUGACCAGCGACGACUAUGACUGUCACUCUUGUGCCUAGCCGCUAUUUUUGACCUUUCUUUCCCCACUACUUCUCUGUUUCGACGGAGUCGCACCAUCGAUGUCGACCGAACAAAAUCCGACGAUAGUCGUCGAAACUAUUGAAAUUUGUUUCUGCCAAGUUGUAUCGAAAUUAAGGUGUGGAUGUCGUUCAAGGUUGUCCGUUUGAGAUUUCGGGGAAGAUUCAUGGUUCGUUGAGAUUCUGAUCGUAGUCCAAAAUCGGAUCCAGAUUGCUAUUUUUGCUCUAAAUCUUGUAAGGUCCAAGUUUCUUUCUGCUUUCUGCUUGGCGAGAGCUCUUUAAGGUCCAUUUCUAACUGUACUCUUCAAUGUUUUUGUAUGAUUCAUGUGAAUGAGUUUGAAAAAAAUUUUUUAGCUUAUGUGCCCUAAAAUUUUAUCUUGAUGUGCUAUUUGGUUAAAUAAGAUUUGCUGCUAAUGAGCAGGUGUGUGAAGUUGUGUUUAAUUGAUUUACUAGAGUUAAAUAUUUUAUCUAAGUUGAAUAGGCUGUGUUGAAAACUAAAAGAGUCCAAGGAACUCAUUUCAUCUACUAGAUGGAGUAAGGCAGUAACCAUGUUUGAGGACGAAGAACAGUUCUAGGUCGUUGAACGAGAAGCUGAUCGUGAAGAUCUCUUCAGUACCUUAUUCAAUUAAUUAAGGCUUGUGAGAAGCUUUCUUUCGAUACCAAAAAGAACAAAGGAGUGUGAAGUGAAAUCAGGAAGUUGGAUAAUGUAAAUAGCGUUGAAAUUGGUAAUGAAAUAAGAUAUCAGUAACUUAUGACUUCGUUAUUUACAACAGAUAAUAAUUGGUUUGGUUGGUUGAAAUGUGAGGUAGUUCAUUUUACUUUUAUUUUUAUCAAUAUAGAUUCGCUAGUAGUAUGUAUUUAUGACAUUUGCGUGGCAUAAUUAUGGGUUCCAAAAUUAAGAUCGGAGUAUGCGUUCACGCAACUUCAAACAAACUUUCUUAAUAAUAGAAUGGGUUUUCAUAGGCUACGAAUUAAUUGAGUUCAUCUAGACUUGAGGUGUGCCGUGCUAAACAAAAUGACAAUUGCAUAGCCCUUAUUUGAUUAAUUUUGUCUGUCCUUAGAAAUUGAGGUGUGCCAUUUAGCGAAUUUUCAUGACCCUCGUAAAGUUGAAAGUGCGUAUUUGCUUCAGGCGCGCUAUUUUAAAAAUUAACUUCCUAAACUCAGGUGCGCAUUUACGUGACCCAAAUCCAAAUCACAAUGACGUUAAAAUAUGUCAAAGAUCAUGGGCGCAUUUAUGUGACGUGGUCUGAGACGUGUUUUAAUAACGUUGCAAUUUUCUUUUAAAAAUAAUUAAAAGCGGUUAAAACUAAAAUCUGCAUAUAGGUUCAUAAUUGUUUAAAAUCAGAUAAUUAAGCCGAAUAUAAUAGUUGAGCGACCGUGCUAGAACCAUGAAAUUCGGGAAUGCCUAACACCUUCUCCCGGGUUAACAGAAUUCCUUACUCGGAUUUCUGGUUCGCGGACUGUUAAACAGAGUUAAGCUUUUCCUUGAUUCGAUAUUCAACCGGUGACUUGGGACACCAUAAAUCUUCCAAGUGGCAACUCUGAAUCAUUAAAUAAAUAAUCCCGUUUCGAUUGUCACUUUAAGUUGGAAAAAAUCCCUUUAUAUACCCUCCCGGGGGUGUAGGUAAAAAAGGAGGUAUGACAAGGGGUCCUAGGUUGUUUAUCCUAUAGGAUCACCCCACGCAAUGUCCGGUAAACACUCCUCAAUGAGGGGCUACACGUGACAUUAAAGCGUAGUCAUCAUAUCCUAUGUCUACCCUUCCCAUCCCCUUAUUGGUCAUGCAAAGCGAGUGUUUGGUCAUUGAUUCCUAUUGCGUAUUGCUACCCGCCCCUUCUUAAUAGUCCCGAAGGGAGUUAGGAAUUCUACCUAUAGGCAGUUCUAGACAUACCCCUAAGAUUUUAAAGGCAAAAAUCUAAGGCGACAGUGAAAGGAAAGCAUUUAGGACUUUCACAUAAAUAGAGCAAUUAAAGGCUCACAGUUUCCUCCGCAAACAAGCAUACAUGUAGCACGACUCAACCACAAGUAAGGUCUUUAGUAAUAAAAUUCCUAAAGCAGGAUUUCUAAGUGAUUAUGUAGAAAUAAACUACUUUCAGAUACAAAAGUUGCAACCUAUUAGUUGCCUAGGAUCUCUUUAAAAGCCUAUUAGAAUUCAGAGACGUUGAGUGACAGAAACAGCUUCAGAGAAAUGCAAGUUUUGAAAAUGCCCUAAGGCUUGCCUAUAUGCAGAACUGAUAUUUAUGUUAGUGUAGAAACAAACAAGUUUUCGAAAUAAACCUUUCAAUACCUAUAGGUAGGAUAUCUAAUGGGAUUAAAGCAAUUAUGAAAGGACCAAUUUUAGAGAAAUGUUGACACUUAUUAAAACUGGUUUUAAGAAACAAAAUAGGUGAAAGGAAAUCGACUCAUUAGACAAAUUAGAUUAUCAGACAUAAUUGCGAGUAGAAGUCCCUAUAGGCAUGGUAUCUAGGCGUAUUACUGGUUUUAGGCAAUUUGCAGUAACGUAUGAAAAACUUAUUGAAUCGGAAUUAUGUCCUAUAUGCAGGGUAUCUAUACUUGAAUUGAUUUAAAACAUGAUGGCUUGGAACCUAAAAACAUGAUUUCUAACAUGACAAAUGCAGGAUUUAUGAACAUGGUUUACAUCUGAUACAAAUGACAUUAAAAGUGAAAACCUAUAGGCAUGAUGUCUAUUAUGCAAAAUGAAAUCAGAUUUAACAAGAGUCACACCCUAUGAACAUGUUUUCUAUUGAGUAAAGCAGGUAGAUUUGAAAGUGAAAUUCUAAGAGCAGGAUUUCUGCCCAUAUUACCCCACAAAGUAUACAUCUACCCACCCUUUUACUAAAUUACCCCGGAUAUCUGUUUACAAAAUAUUACAGGCCAACAAAUGAAUUACAUAAGGGAAACAAAAAAACAAGAAGCUAUUCUAUAGAGAGCCUGCAAUCAGGCCCAAGUUUCCCAAAGCCUCCAAUGGUCUUUCAAACCUCAUUUCCAUAGACAAAUCAGAGUCUAGGUGCAUCAAAGUUCCCUAAGGGUCUCAAGGACCCCGAGCAAUGCUUACACCUAGACUUAGCAGCCAAGCAUUGAACUAGUGCAGUGUGGAAAGCCAACCUUAGUAUGCUAGAGUUCCAAGGGUUCUUAAGAGGAUUCCAAGGCAGUACACAUACUAGAAGGGCAGAACUUAUUAAAUAAGAGUAGAGUGAAAGUGCAGGACUCAUGUUUGAAAUUUUUUUAUUAAAGACUGGACUCAAAAGUUUGUUUUGAAAGCAAUUAGUAACAAAGAUUGUUGAAAGAAGUUGGGAUAGUAAACAGAGUUCAAACACUUCAGGAUAGGACCACACACAGCAAGCUCACAGAAGAUGAAUGAAUCACACAAGGAUUAAGGAUUUUGGGGAUACACAGACAUUGACUGCAGAUACAUGAUCCCAACAGGAGUAUUAGGACUAGUAUGGACAUGCUCAGAGAUAGUUUGACACUGGCAUAACCACAAACCAGUCAUAAACACAUAGAGGAGAGUAGGGAUUUGGGAUUCACAAAGUGUAAGUGCACAUUAUGUAAAAGAAUACAAUUGUCCAGGCAUGUGCAUGAAUAAGAGGGGGAGCCAUACUAGCAGGCUUAACUACAAACUUCACAACAAAACCAUAAGUAAAAGUAGGCUAGAAAUAAAAGAAACUGAAACAAGAAGAGAAUCAUGUUGUUGUUGUGAUUGUAAAUUAAACUAGGGCAUACUAGUGAAGAUAGGAGUAAGCAGAAUAGAAGAACCAAAGAGCACAGAUGAUUAGCCUUGGCUUGCGCCGGCUAGUAGUAAUAGAAUAACAUAGAGAUUUUAAGCAAGAGAGGGGUUUUUGGAAGCCAAGUGUGUGUCUUGUUUGUGAAAACUUAGAGUAUUUAUAGUCGAAAGUAGGUAGUAGAAUUAGGUAAAAAUCAUAGUAGUACACUAAUUUAAGAACUUAGAAUCAAUCAAUUAGAGAAUCAAGUAAGUCUUCCUUAAGUUAAAGGAAUCAAGAUCAAACGGAACGAUUCAGUACCACAUAGAGGGGGAAAGGAGGAAUCAGUGCAUAAUUAAACAAGGAAAGGAGCCAGAGUCCAUUAAGCAUAAAGUAGUCAAUUAGGACUAAAUUCAGAAAGACCCAAUUAAGGAAAGACUAAGUAAAACAAAGUACCAUGAUAAAUAAGACAAUAAAAUUAGUUAAUUCAAACAGACGAGUAGAAAUCUAGGACUUUGAAGGAAAAUCUUUCAAUUACCAAAAGUUAAGGAAAGUCAAAAUCAAUCAUGGGGAGUCAUGAUUCUGCAUACCUCAACAUAUAAAUAGAGACGAUUGAACAAAAUUAGCAAACAAAGAAGUUCGAUUAUAUAGGCAGAAAGAAACAAGAGAUGAGCAGACACAGUCAUGUAGAGGUGAUGUAAGUAGGCUAAAGAUUCAGCAGAACAUAUUCGAAGCAUGGUGACCACGAGAGAUUAACAAGACCAAGGCAAAGAAAAUCAUGCUAACACAUAGAGCUAGGGCAAAGAGAGUCAUGCUAACUGCGGGACCAAAAUUGAAGAAAAUCAUGCUAACAUACAGAGCAGAGAAAAGAAAACCAAGCUAACACAUUGAAACAAAUAAAGAAAACCAAGCCAACACACAGAAACAAGUAAAGAAAUCAUGCCAACUCAGAGAAACAAGUAAAGAAAAUCUUUAAAAAGAAAUUAGGGCUUUUUAACAGAGUUGAGUUAAAAAGUAGUAAGAACAUAGAAUCGGUCAAUAUAAACAAGGGAAAAGGUUUAACCAUAAAGAAUCGGUCGAAACAGGUAUGGAAAGAACUUCAAAAAACCCUAGUUUUCAAAGGGAGUAAAAACGAUUUAGAGUAGAAGAUCUUUCAAAAGAAAGCUCGAGAAUAAGCAAAUCAAAAAAGGAAAUAGGCUUAAAGCAUAAAAAUAACAUAGAUCUGAGAGAUUCAGGAGGGAGUCAGGGUUUCAAAAGGAAACCCAAGUAAAAAAUUGAAAGAACCUAUUGUAACUUCACCGAUCGUGACAUAUAAGGUGUGAUUUUGCCCAAAACCACAUUGGAUAACCCAUAAGUGACAGAAACAGAAACUCUAGGUCCAAAUCGACAUGGCCUAGGAUCCUUGAAGACCUUAGAGAUGGUGAGCAGGGUGAUGAGAGACCCAUUGGAGGCUUGGGUUGAAAAUGAUAGUCGCCGAAGAUGGCCGGAGAUGGAGGGGAGUGGAGGAGUCUAGGGUUAGGUUUGAGAGAAGAAUGGAGAUAGGAGAGCAUCUGAAGGCGGCGUCUUUGAAAAAAUGAAUUAGGGUUGGGGUUGUUUAGAAAUUAAAAAGGAAAGGGGAAAUAACGGUUGUUGAUCUAAAAGAUCAACGGCCAGGAGUUAUGAUGACAUGGGUCGGGUAAGAAUAGUUGGGGCCUGGGUGGGGUUAAUUGAUUAGGAGAUUGGUCUUGGAAUUGGGGUCCGAUUUGGCUAUAAUUGAAAGACAAAUUUGGCUGUUAUUUAAAUUGCCAAUUUUUCCCUAUUUAUUUUAUGAAAAAUAAUAGGUAAUUUUUGAAAAAAUAAAUUAAGGUAGCCAAAAUGAUUUAAAAAUACAUAAGCAACAAUUUAAAAAUACAUGAUCCAAUUUUAUGCUUAUAAACAUAAUUAUAUCUAAAAAUGGGCUAACAUUGCAAUUAUAUGCAAUUUAGCAUUAAAAAUACUAAAUGUAAUUGCAAAAAUAUAUAAAAAUUAAUGUAGCCAUAUUUUAGCAUAAAUAUAGAAAUUAAAUAAAUGAAUUAUCAAAACAAUAAUUUUGGAAAUAAUUAUUGAGAUUUUUAUGGAUAAAAGGGGAGAAAAUAAAUCAAUUAAAACCCUUAAAAUUAUGGAAAAAAUAAUAAAAACCUUGAGCGUGCUUAUAUAUGCUAUUUUAAAGGUAUUUAUGCAUAUUUAAAAAUAUAAAGGGAAAAACUGGGUAUCAACAGCUGCCCCUCUUUACUCGGGAAGGAUGAAAGAGUUUUCGGGUAAAGAAAUGAUGGCCAAUUUUGACCGGACAAGAUGCUUUGAAAGAUAGAGGCCGAGCUCAGAUUUCUGAUUUGCCUACAUAUCCCUGGUUUUACAGGAAUUAAGCCAUGUGUAGUUCUAGAUUCACAUGUGGAGUAUGCCGAUGAAAUUUUUGUAAGAAUGGACACGAAAUGUGGAAGCGGCUACGGUGAGCGUUUAAGGCUCGGGACGGUUGGGGGAAACUGGAGCGGGAUUGCUCCUGCUAGGAUAGCAGUUGCAUACUAGUUACCUAUAGACAAAAGAUGCUACAAACGUAUUUGCGAAAAUUUAAACAUGAUGCAAAUUCCCUUUGGACAAUGAAGGUUGUCUUCGGACAGUUUGAGAUGACGUCCUUGGACCAUGAUGUCCUGGGCCAUGAAUUGUUUACUGAGGGAUUCGUAGGCCAUGAAAUGACGUUCUCGGGAAAUGAAAAUGGUGCUUCUGAACCAUGAUGCCUUUGAAUAAUGAUAUGCAAAUUUGAGAGAUCCUCAGGCCAUGGCAUGGUGUCUUCAAGACAUGAGGAUGGUGCCUUUAGACUAUGACGCCUUUGGACAGAUUGACGAUAUUUCAGCCCAUGCUAUGCAGUAAUAUGACGUUAACAAGAUAAGGCUUAGUCUUGUGAAAUGAAGGGCAGAGCUUAGCCCGUAAGAAGAGCAAAUAGGUAGUGCCGGAGAGACAACGUUUGGUCUCGGUGAAAGAAUGUAAAUUGGAGGCAGAGGUUAGCCUUAUGCAAAUAUGGAGUUCGGGAUUAGACUCAUGAAAUAUUCGGGACAGGGCCUAGUCCCAUGCAAAUAAAUGCAGAGAUUAGCAUUAUUCAAACAUGGAGUCCGGGAUUGGACUCAUGCAAAUAUGGAGUUAGCGCUUAGACUCAUGCAGGGAGAAGGCAGUGCUAAGCCUUAUGCAAGUAUGGAGGUAGAGCUUAACCUUAUGCAAGAUGCGGGACAUGGCUUAGUCCCAUGCAAAUGGAAGGCAAUGCUUAGCCUUAUGCAAAUAUGGAGGCAUGGCUUAGCCUCAUGCAAAAUAUAGCGUCAGGGCUUAGACUCAUGCAGAUGUGGAGUCAGGGAUUAGACUCAUGCUAAUAUGGUGACAGAGCUUAGUCUCAUACAGGGAAAAGGCAAUGCUUAGCCUUAUGAAAAUAUGGAGGCAGGGGUUAGCCUCAUGCGAAAAAAUGGAGUCAGGGCUUAGACUCAUGUAGAUGUGGAGUCAGGGAUUAGACUCAUGCAAAUAUGGAGACAGAGCUUAGCUCAUACAAAGAGAAGAUAGCGCUUAGCCUUAUGCAAAUAUGGAGGUAGAGCUUAACCUCAUGCAAGAUUCAGGACAGGGCUUAGUCUCAUGCAAAUGGAAGGCAAUGCUUAGCCUUACGCAAAAUAGAGGCAAGGCUUAGCCUCAUGCAAAAUUCGGGACAAGUCUUAGUCCCAUGCAAAUAUGGAGUCAAGGAUUAGACUCAUACAAAUGUGGAGUCAAGGCUUAGACUCAUGCAAAUAUGGAGUCAAGGAUUACACUCAUGCAAAUAUGGAGUCAAGGAUUAGGCUCAUGCAAAUAUGGAGUCAGAGAUUAGACUCAUGCAAAGAGAAAAUGGCAGAUAAGGGUAGAGUAUAUCUUAACUAGGAUAGGUUUAGCAUCUAACGGCCGGAUGGAUGGUCAAUUUGCUUUGUGUACGAAUGUUAUCGUCAGAUGUGCCCGCGUUCAAAGAAAAAUCAUAAGUUUCAUGAGGGGAGGUUGGUUCUUGCUUCGUCUGCCGGCCUUGCUUUGCUCCACACUGGAAGCCCCCUUCGAGUUCCCUUAGGUAGCACCUGACCAUUAUGAAAAAUAGAAUUUUCGAAAAAUAUGCAGUCAUUUAAAAAAAGGAAUUAUUUUGGAAUCGUAUUGAUAUAUCAAGUAACUUUUUAUGAUCUAGCGACUGUGACACAUUUCAAAGGCAUUGCAGCUCUCUUAUGCUAGAAUUUUGAGGGUUCUCCUCAAAAUUCUGCCGCAGUUUAGUAGAUGAUUUUUAACUGUUUGCGGGUUGUGGACCCUACUGAAUCUUUUCCGGAAUUUUGAGAAUCCUUCUCAAAAUAUUACCCCAGUUCUUGAUUGCUGACUGACUUCCUGGCAUGUGAUGGUGCUGGCUAGAUUUGCUCCGAAAUUUUAAGGACCCUCCUCAAAGUUCUGCCCCAGUUUCUCAUUUUUGGGGGAAAUGAGAAUUUUAUUAUGAUAUGACAAAAUUCAUAAGGCUGCCUAUGUAUCCCCUCUUAAACGGGAAUCAGGUCAAGCGUAGUUCAAUUACAUCAGAAAGGAAAAUGUAAAAUAAUCUAAGCAUAGUAUCUCUUGACUGCGUCUGAAUUGAUUGGUUUUGGCCAGAUCUCUCCAUCCAUCUUUGCAAGUAUGAGUGCUUCUCCUGUUAGUACUCUGUGAAACAUAUAUGGACCUUACCAGUUGGGAGAGAAUUUCUCUUUGGCUUCAUCGUGGUAUGGGAAAAUCUUCUUCAAUACCAGCUACCCUAGUGUGAACUGUCUUGGUUUGACCCUUUUGUUGAAAGCUCUGGACAUUCUUUUUUGAUACAGUUGAUCGUGGCACACUGCGUUCAUUCUUUUCCCAUCGAUAAGGGCCAACUGUUCAUAACGGCUUCUUACCCAUUCCGCAUCGCUGAGUUCAGCUUCCUAUAUGACUCUUAAAGAAGGAAUCUCUACCUCGACUGGGAUGACAGCCUCGGUACCAUAAACUAACAUGUAGGGAUUGCCCCGGUUGAUGUGCGAACUGUGGUGCGGUACCCCAACAGAGAAAAGGGUAAUUUCUCAUGCCACUGCUUGUGAUUCUCUACCAUUUUCCUUAGUAUCUUCUUAAUGUUUUUGUUGGCGGCUUCAACGGCUCCAUUCAUCUAAGGUCUGUAGGCGGUGAAAUUCUUGUGCUUGAUAUUGAAGGUUUCACAUAUAGCUUUCAUCAAGUCACUAUUGAGGUUGGCGGCGUUUUCGGUGAUAAUGGACUCCUGAAUCCUAAAUCGGCAGACGAUACAAUCCUUGACAAAAUCUGCGAUGACCUUCUUAGUUAUAGCUUUUUAAAAUGUAGCUUCUACCCAUUUUGUGAAGUAAUCAAUGGCUACUAGAAUAAACCGGUGUCUGUUCGAAGAAAUAAGCUCGAUUGGACUUAAACAUCCAUUCCCCAGGCGGCGAAUGACCAUUGUGAGCUUGUUGCAUUGAGCUCGUUUGGUGGCACUUAUAUCAUGUCGGCAUGUACUUGACAUUGAAAGCAUUUGCGUACAUACUGAAUACAAUCCAUCUCCAUGGUCAUCCAAAAGUAACUUGCCUUGAGUAUUUUCUUGGCCAGAACAAAACCAUUCAUGUGCGGACCACAGGUCCCAACAUGCACAUCCUCAAGUAGCUUAGAAGCUUCCUUUGCGUCGACACACCUUAGAAAACCCAAAUCCGGGGUUCUUCUGUACAAGUUCCCUACACUGUGGAAGAAGUGAUUUGACAAUCUCCGGAGCGUGCAUUUCUGAAUGUAAUUUGCAUGCUUUAGGUAUUCUCCUUUUGAUAGGUACUCCUUGAUGUCAUGGAACCAAGGCUUUCCGUCUGCUUCCUCCUCAACAUGAGCACAAUACGUUGGUUGAUUAUAGAUCCUCAUCGGAAUGGGAUCAAUAUAGUUCUUAUCUAGAUGUUGUAUCAUUGAUGACAAAGUGGCUAAUAUGUCGGCAAACUCAUUCUGAAUUCUAGGCACAUGUCAGAAUUCUAUCUUCAUGAACCUCCUUUUCAAUUCCUGCACAUGGUGCAGAUAUGGCAAUAUCCUGGAAUUCUUGGUAGCCCAUUCUCCUUCUACCUAGUGCACAAGCAAAUCUGAAUCGCCGAUCACCAACAACUCCUGAAUGUUCAUGUCGACUAUCAUGUUGAGCCCCAGUAUGUAGGCCUCAUAUUCUACCAUGUUGUUGGUGCAGGGAAAUCUGAGUUUAGCAGAUAUGGGAUAAUGCUGACCCGUUUCUGAGACCAAAGCUGCUUCAAUUCCUACUCCUUUGAAAUUUAUGACUUCGUCAAAGAACAUUCUCCAACCGUCAUAUGCUUCCGUAAUGUCUUCUCCUGCGAAUGAUACUUCUUCAUCAGGAAAAUACAUUUUCAAGGGUUCAUAUUCUCCUCCCACUGGAUUUUCAGCAAGGUGAUCUGCCAAUGCUUAUACCUUGACUGCUUUUUGAGUCACAUAGAUGAUGUCGAACUCAUUCAGUAGUAUCUGCCGUUUAGCCAACUUCCUAGUAGGCAUGGGCUUCUGAAAUAUGUACUUCAGAGGAUCCUUCCUGGAUAUGAGGUAUGAAGUGUAGGCACAAAAAUAAUGCCUCAACUUCUGGGAUGGUCAGGUUAAGGCACAGCAAGUGCAAUCGAGAAGAGAAUACCAUGCCUCAUAAGGUGUGAAUUUCUUACUCAAGUAGUAUAUGGCUGUCUCCUUUCUUUCUGUCUCAUCAUGUUGUCCUAAAACACAUCCAAAGGCUCCAUCUAACACAGAGAUUAAAGUAGCAAAGGUCGUCCUAGCUCAGGAGGGACCAAAACUGGCGGUGUGGAAAGGUAUUCCUUGAUCUUGUCAAAAGCUCCCUGACAAUCCUCGGUCCAACUUGUCUCGGCAUCCUUCCUCAGCAUCUUGAAGAUAGGUUCACAUAUUACUAUGGACUGUGCUAUGAAUCGACUGAUGUAAUUGAGCCAUCCCAGGAAGCUUAUCACGUCCUUUUUNCUUUUANNNNNNNNNNNNNNNNCAUCUUGUAAUAGUAUACACCCCAAGGCGUAAUAAAAACUGUUUUUUCGGCAUCUACUUCAUCCAUCUAGAUAUGGUGAUAACCUGCGAAGCAAUCUACAAAGGAUUAGAGUUCAUGCUUGGCGCAAUUAUCGAUCAGGAUGUGUAUAUUUGGCAGUGGGAAGUUGUCUUUGGGACUCACUCUGUUUAAAUCCCGAUAAUCAACACUUACCCUGACCUUCCUGUCCUUCUUUGGAACUGGCACAAUAUUAGCUAAUCAAGUUAGGUACUCAACCACCCUGAGAACUUUGGCUUUGAUCUGCUUGGUAACUUCCUCCUUGAUUUUCAAACUCAUGUCUAGUUUGAAUUUUUUGAGUUUCUGCUUGACUGGCGGACACAUAGGAUUGGUAUGCAACUUGUGAGCCACUAUAGACGUCCUCAAACCGGUCAUAUCAUCAUAUGACCAUGCGAAGAUGUCCUCAUAUUCCUUUAGAAAAUGGAUAUAUUCUUCAUUCUCUGUUGGUGACAAAUGAAUGCUGAUGCAAGUCUCUUUGACGGUCUCUGUGUCUCCCAAAUUUACUGCUUCUAUUUUGUCCAAAUUGUAUUUAGGCUUGUUCUCGAAAUUCUCAACUUCCCUGACAAUUUCCCCAGGUAUCUCAUCCUCUUCCUCUGAGUCACUAUAUUCAUGUUGCGUUGCCUCAUUACAUGUCACAGUUACUGGUUCAUCAGGAAGAGUAAUAAUAACACUAUAGAAGUAAAAAGUAUAAAAAUAAUAAUGAAUAAUGAUAAAGGAUGAAUGCAUUUGAUUAAAACUGAGAAAAUUGUUCAAACAAAGCUUGGCUCGGUUGAUCAAACAUUUAUUUUGAAACAAAGAAAUCUUAAAACAAAAUUGCUGGAAAUUUUAAAUGCCUAGAACGGCUUAAAAAUUCUGCCAAGCUACCCAGGGACUCAGCGGGCUCGGGAUGGUGUGACGAUCCAGUUUCUGAGAAUGGCUCCCUUUGCAACGGUCUGAAUGGAGAGGCCUUCUUCCUUCUCCUCCUCAAUUAUGGCAUUGCAGUCCAUAUCCUCAUCUUCCAAGAACAGGUCCUUCAGCCCAAAUAGUGCUUCUUCUUCAGUGGUUCCCCAUAUUGUGUCUGCCUGAUAGAAAGCUUGUUCCAAACGGGGUAUCGGUUGCUCAAGAGGGUAAUACGGUCAACACCAUGGAGACGACCAUUCCCUAUACUCCUGCCAUGUAUACUGGUAUCCGAGCCCAAAGGUGGUACCAUGAUUUUUCAGUCGUAUCGGCUUGGUGAUACCCUGGAUGUUCUUUCCCAACCCUUUGCCGGGCUCUUAUCCGGACCAUGCUAGUAUGCUUUCUAUUUUGUUACUCCACCACUUAUCCUUCUUGAUGGCAUUGACCUGUUCAAUGUGAUGAUAGGCUUCCCCUCCUAGCCUUUUUCUAUGUCCAAUGGCCAGAAUGGUUUGACUGGUGUAGAUGGGAUUACUCCCAUCUCCAUGAAUGAUUACCUCCUGGUGGUUCCAUUCAAAUUUCAUGACUUGGUGUAGUGUGGAUGGAACAACUCCAGCAGCAUAGAUCCAUGGGCAGCCCAAAAAAAGAUUAUAUGAGGCGGGUAUGUCAAGCACUUGGAAUUCAACGUCGAACCAAGUUGGUCCCAUCUGCAAGCAAAUGUUGAUCUCCCUGAUCGUGGCCCUCUGGGACCCAUCAAAAGCUUUUACAUUCAUGCUUCCAGUCCGUAUUUCAUGGAAAUCUUUGUCCAACCUUUUCAGGGUAUCCAAUGGACAAAUAUUCAGACUCGAACCUCCAUCAACCUGGACCCUGGCAAUGAAUUUGUCUUUAAAUUGUACCGUAAUGUGCAAUGCUCGAUUCUGAUUCAGACCUUCAGACAGCAGCUCAUCUUCAUGGAAGAUAAUAUUAUGGCUCUCCAGCACCUGUCCGACCAUGUUGGCCAUUUCUCCCCCAGUGAUAUUACUGGGUACAUAAGCUUCGCUUAAUACCUUCAUCAAGUCGUACUCCUCUGAAUUCUGUAGCAGUGACAUGAUAGAUAUCUGAGCGGGGACUUUUUCAGAUGAUCAACAACAGAAUACUCUUUUGCCUAUACUUUCCUCCACAAGUCAUCCGGUCCGGUCUCAAUAACAGGCUGCCUAGCAGUGGCAUCCUUACUUGAACCUCCCAAAUGUUCAGGUAUGUAGACUCUUCCAGUUCUAGUCAUCCCUUGUGCGGCGUCAGAUUCCUCUAUCUUAGCCUUCCCUUUUCGCCAUGCCUCGGCAAAAUAAUCCUAGGGUAUCGCCUUUGAAUUGAAUGGGGGUGUGGUUGACACCGUCACAGUAAAAGGUGUGACCACUUUUACUUCAAAUGGAGCGGAGGUAGCUGCGGGCGGAGUUACUUCCACCUCGAAUAGAACUGAUGCAGUUACCUUAAUGUCAAUAGGUGCAUGAGUCUGAACCACAAUAGGAGUAAGUGUAACUGCAACCUUGAAGUCAUCGUCUUCUCGGAUAAGCCCGAUUGACCCCUCAAGGUCCCAUUCCUCAUUUGUUUUUAUGACAUGUACAUCGUCACCUCUGUGAUCAGGGAGGGGAUUAUUGCGGACAUUGGGUAUGGCUUCCUUUGCUUGGAUAACCUUGUUAUCAAUGAGUGUCUGGAUCUUAUCCUUCAACGUUCGGCACUCAGCAGUGGUGUUCCCUUUCAUACCGGAGUGGUGUGCAAAAGUUUUGUUUGGAUUGACCCAUUGAGAUGGAUUUUCUAGCGCCACAACGGGAAUAGGAGUGACGUAACCUGCGCCUUUAACCUUUUAUACAACUAGUCGAUGGGCUUAGCAAUGGCAGUGUAUUGUCUGGGUAGCUUGCGGUCGAAAUUGGGUCUUGGUCUUGGAUAAUUUUGGCGAUUUGGUGGUGAUUGGAAGUGGGAUGGUUGGGAAUUGUAGGUAUGAUGGACAGCGGCUGGUUGGGAAUAUUUGGGAGAUGAGGGUUGAUAUGUAGGUGGUGAUGCUUGGUAUAUGGGUGGAGAUGCUUGGUAUGUGGGUAGAGAUGUCUGGUAUGUGAGUGGAGUUUUUGGGCCCUGGGCCACCAUUACUGCCCCAACAUCUCUCUUCUUCGAUAUGCCACCUGAUUGUAGUGCCUUGUUUGUGGCUUGCAGUGCCUCGAAAUUUGUUACCAUCCCGCUCUUGAUUCCUUCCUCGAUUCUUUCCCUGAGCUUGAUGAUAUCAGAGAAUUUAUGAUUUUCGAUAACCAUCAACCUUUCAUAAUAUUGUGGAUCCUGUGGUCUGAUGAAGAACUUAUUCAUCUGUUCUUCAUCCAAAGCGGGCCUGGCCUUGGUGGCUUCCAACCUCCAACGAGUAGCAUAUUCGCGAAAAGUCUCAGUCGGAUUUGUAGACAUGUGAUUUUUGACCCUCCCCAAGAUUUUUCAUAUUUUAGCAUGUAAAUGUUUAGUUUAGGCCUAACAUCGCUAUUUUAGUUGAUUUUGACCCUUUUACUUUAUUUUCUCACAAAUAACGAAAAUUACAAAAAAUAGUUUCAUUAAGGUUUUGUAGUCAUUUUUAAUCUUGAAAAAAUACCAAAAAGAAUUUUGUUUUAAUGGUCGGUCUUAUUUUAAUAAUUAUUUUUACUUAAGUAGGGCUAAUUAAUAUUUUUGGUAAUAUUCUAUAUUGAUAGAUUUUUAGUUAAUUAAGCUAAUUUUAAGCAAAUCUAGUCAUAAAGGCCCAAGUUUCUAGCCCAUCCCCUGAGCCCAAUAUCCUUAAACCCAGAUAAUAACCUAGACCUAACCUAUAAAAACACUAGGACCUAUCAGCCAUUUGAACAAAAGGAGACCCCCCCCCCCCCCUCGGCAACUGAGGAUCAUCUUCUUCAUGAAGAAUUAACACAACUGAAACACUACUCCUUCUUCAAAGACCAGCAACCAUGUCCCUUGAUUUGAAAAGUGAUAUCUGACUCUCAUUUGAAAGAACAAAAAGUAGCAGACUUAUGAAUUCCUAAUUCACAAAGAGGAGAGAAAAAUGGCAGCUAAGACCCAAUUCAAAAGAGGAGGAUUCAACGGCAUAUCCCAAAAAAGAGAGAUCAUCCUCGAUCUUCAUCUCUCAAGUUCCACACCCAAUUUCAAAAAAUAAUGACCUAGACAUUUCCCUUCAUCAAAAAUCAGUUGUUAAAUAAAAAAACAAGUUUCAGCCGAGUCCAUCAUGGUCGUUAAGUUCGUCGUUCGAGUACUCCUAUCGCGGGUCUUGUUCAAGUUCUUUAUCCGGGUUGUAAUAUCUGGGAUUCGUGUAUUUUGAUGACAUUGGAAGCUUUGCGUUUUGAUCUAUUGAAGAAUAUUAUUUGCUGAGUAUAUAGGUUCAUUCUCACCUUUCCUAAAAUUUUUGUUUGUUCAUGAAUAUUUUCCAUGUGUUGUAUUUGGGUUCUGUUAAUGCAGUUUUGAUGAAUUCAUGAAUGCUUAAUUGUGAAUGAAUUUGGACAACUGUAUGUUUCGAGUUUAAUUAGAAUUAAAAAUUUUGGUUUUCAGUUUUUUUAAAAUAGGUAAUUUACUAAAAGGGGAUCUGGCCCGGUAAGAAAAUAAUUGGGGUUGUUGAUUAUCAAUUACUCGAAGCAUGAAUUUUGGUCCUUAAACAAAGUGAUUAAUUGAAAAGUUGUAGACCUUUAACAUAUUUCUUUAGAGAAAUUGAUGAGUUGUUUCAUUACUGAAAGAUUAAAUAAUUGUAGCUAUAAUAGAUGUUAAACGUGUAAACAAUUGUUUGUGUUUUUAGGAACCACAAGAACAUUAGCCGUCGUUUUUUCUUUCAUUUGAACUAGAAAGCAAACUAAUUUGUAGAAAUUCGUUAAAGCAUGUGAAUCUUUGCGAGUUUCAAUAACAAAGCAUAUAGGACUAAUAUUUAAUAUUGUACCAACUUGUUGUAGACGGUCAAGAGAAUUAGUCGUUGUCUAUUUUAUUACUAAUAAUGUGAGAUUAAUAAUAAAUUAUCAUAGCUACAAGUACGGUUCCCGUGACGUAGUUGUGACGCUUAGUUUCUAAACUCCAGGGAUACAUUUAUGUGACCUAGCCAUAAUUUAAUCUUGUUAAUAAAAUAAACAUGGUGUGGGUCGUUGGUACGGUUCCCGUGAUAUGAUUUGCAACGUGUAAAUCAAAUAAUUGGUUGUAUAACAAUUGGAUUAUUAAAAGCGGUUUAAAAAGGAAUAAAAUGCACAUAGGUUUCAAGAAUGUUUUAAAAUCAGAUAAAAAGGCCAAUAAUAAUAGUUGAGUGACCGUGCUAAAACUACGAAACCCGGGAAUGCCUAACACCUUCUCCCGUGUUAACAAAAUUUCUUACCCGAAUUUUUGUGUUCGCAGACCAUAAAUAAGAGUCAAACUUUCUCGAUUCGGGAUUCUAAACCGGUGACUUGGGACACCAUAAAUUAUCCCAAGUGUCGACUCUGAAUAAAUAUAAAUAAUACUGUUUUGGUUAUUGUCACUUUAAUUGGAAAUACUCCCCUAUACCGCUUCCGGUGGGUAGAAAAAGGAGGUGUGACAGCUCUGGCGACUCUGCUGGGGACAAGAACCCAGAAUCUCUGGUCAGGGUUCAAGAAUUCGAGCUUAGAAUAAUUGUUAUAUUUGGCUUUUAUUUAUUAUCUGAUUUUAUUAGAUGCUUGGGCCUAAUGUGCUAAAUGCCGCUUUUUACUGCUUUGAUAUUAUUUGAAAUAUAUAUAAACUGUUGUGAAACCCUUAUCUUCUCAUCUUCGGGGAAGUGCACGCUGGCGUGACUUCUUUUCUGUUAGUGUCAUACCUUAAAUUAGGAAGAGGCUCAGACAAGUUACAAAGACGGAUGGCCUUUUGGUUCCCGGUACGUAGCCCCCCUGCUCGAGUUGUCCACUCGGGUGUACCAAGUCUAGAAUAAUACACCCAGGUUUCAAACCUAGAAUAACUCAGCCUCAUGUCGGAUCCCUAGUAGGAACAUCAUGUGCAUUUGACUUUGGGGACUCAACACAAGGGUUGGGUCCGUCUAGGACAAGUGUACCCAAAGAAUAAAAGAUCAUCCAGAUGCAUCCUAUGUGCUACAUGUUACAAUUUUCAAGGGUAAAAGAGGUCAUUUGGUGGACUAAUGAGGUUUGAUGAUAAAUGAAAAAAAGGGUGAAGUGUUAUAAAAUAAAGCAAGUAGGGCCCAGUUAUGUUUUUCUUUCAUAUUUGUUUUAAAGAAAAACAAAAAGAACCAUGAAAAAUCCAAAAAGAUUUUGCACUUUCCCAUCAUUUUCCAAAAAAAAUCAAAAAAAGAGGGAAAAAAAAUCCAAAAAGAGUUUACAUGUUUCAUCAUUUUUCUAUACAAAAGACAAAAAAAUAUAUUUUCUCUAAAUUAGUUGUUUUUUUAUUUUUUUAUUUCUCACCCGUAUCCAAUCUUCCCGAACUGCGCGAACCUGAUUCUCGUCUCUCGGGGCAUGAUACGUAGGCUUCGCGGGGUCUUAGCCAAAUCUUGUAUUUUUAGCUACUUUUAGCCAAAUAGGUUAAUUUUAGAAAAAUAGUCACAAUCAUGUUUUGCAUGUGUCCAACAGCAAGGGUUAUUGUCUCACAUAGCGUUCUAGGUCUUUAACUUUAUUUGGUCUUAAUUUUCUCAUACAGGUGUAGACUUACUUACCGGAGUUUGAGCAUGGCAAACAUCCCAGGACUGUCUGGUCAGGACCUUUGCAUCCAGGAGUUGCUUCAGGAGAAAUUUUUUAUAUUUUUAGUCUGUUUCUUUUUUUAUGUUGUCUUGUACUUUAUAGUUAUGUCCAGUAGCAAUGAUCUUUUAGUUGGUGUCGGAGUUUGUCG
rnacentral:lncRNA from 1 species